rnacentral:rRNA from 1 species
CCUACGGGGGGCAGCAGUGGGGAAUAUUGGACAAUGGGGGCAACCCUGAUCCAGCCAUGCCGCGUGUGUGAAGAAGGCCCUCGGGUUGUAAAGCACUUUCAGUGAGGAAGAACGCCUGGUGGUUAAUACCCAUCAGGAAAGACAUCACUCACAGAAGAAGCACCGGCUAACUCCGUGCCAGCAGCCGCGGUAAUACGGAGGGUGCGAGCGUUAAUCGGAAUUACUGGGCGUAAAGCGCGCGUAGGUGGCUUGAUAAGCCGGUUGUGAAAGCCCCGGGCUCAACCUGGGAACGGCAUCCGGAACUGUCAAGCUAGAGUGCAGGAGAGGAAGGUAGAAUCCCCGGUGUAGCGGUGAAAUGCGUAGAGAUCGGGAGGAAUACCAGUGGCGAAGGCGGCCUUCUGGACUGACACUGACACUGAGGUGCGAAAGCGUGGGUAGCAAACAGGAUUAGAUACCCCAGUAGUC